rnacentral:tRNA from 1 species
GCCCCUGUAGCUCAGAGGAUAGAGCAGCGGUUUCCUAAACCGUUGGUCGGGUGUUCGAGUCUCCCCAGGGGCA